GCACAAGCGGUGGAGCAUGUGGUUUAAUUCGAAGCAACGCGCAGAACCUUACCAGCCUUUGACAUCCUAGGACGACUUCUGGAGACAGAUUUCUUCCCUUCGGGGACCUAGUGACAGGUGCUGCAUGGCUGUCGUCAGCUCGUGUCGUGAGCUGUUGGGUUAAGUCCCGCAACGAGCGCAACCCUCGUCCUUAGUUGCCAUCAUUAAGUUGGGCACUUUAAGGAAACUGCCGGUGAUAAGCCGGAGGAAGGUGGGGAUGACGUCAAGUCCUCAUGGCCCUUACAGGCUGGGCUACACACGUGCUACAAUGGCAUCUACAGUGGGCAGCUAUUCCGCAAGGAUGCGCUAAUCUCCAAAAGAUGUCUCAGUUCGGAUUGUCCUCUGCAACUCGAGGGCAUGAAGGCGGAAUCGCUAGUAAUCGCGGAUCAGCAUGCCGCGGUGAAUACGUUCCCAGGCCUU
rnacentral:rRNA from 1 species